rnacentral:rRNA from 1 species
GCGGAAGCCUUUGCAGCUGGAAACAGUAGCUGAGCGACUAUAAACAAAGAUCAGCCUUAUGCAAGUCAGCGUUUGCUGGCAACACUUUCGAAUUGCGGGGACCCCCUAAGAGCCUUUUACACCAAACUAGUAUGGGAAACCUGCUAGCGGCCCGUGGGAAACUACGGGGUAUGGUAAUAGUGAAAAGGAUGAACCAGCACGAGAGUGUUGGGGAAAUGGGCAAUCCGCAGCGAAGCCCCUGCUGUUCAUGGUACCGCAAUUGCGGCAAUCAAACAUGGGGAACGUUCACAGACUAAGUGGAAGUGGGUGGAGUAGCAAUACUCUGCUUAAGAUAUAGUCGGGCCCCCUUGGAAACUUGGGGGAUGGAUCGCUUGUUAUGAGCUGUAUCCACAAAACCGUUCCGUAGGUGAACCUGCGGAAGGAUCAUUACCAAUUUCGGGGGACUUCGGUCCCUGUCUGAACCCUUGUCUUUUGAGUACCAUUUGUUUCCUUGGUAGGCUUUGCCUGCCAAUAGGACACCACUUAACCUCUUGUAAUUGCAAUCAGCGUCAGAAAAACAUAAUAGUUACAACUUUCAACAACGGAUCUCUUGGUUCUGGCAUCGAUGAAGAACGCAGCGAAAUGCGAAAAGUAGUGUGAAUUGCAGAAUUCAGUGAAUCAUCGAAUCUUUGAACGCACAUUGCGCCCCUUGGUAUUCCAUGGGGCAUGCCUGUUCGAGCGUCAUUUGUACAUUCAAGCUCUGCUUGGUGUUGGGUGUUUGUCCCGCUUUGUGCGUGGACUCGCCUUAAAGCAAUUGGCAGCCGGCGUACUAGUCUGGGAGCGCAGCACAAAUUGCGCAUCUAAACCUGAACGCUUGCGUCCAUGAAGCCUAAACUUUUACGCUUGACCUCGGAUCAGGUAGGGAUACCCGCUGAACUUAAGCAUAUCAAUAAGCGGAGGA